rnacentral:rRNA from 1 species
GACGAACGCUGGCGGCGUGCUUAACACAUGCAAGUCGAACGGAAAGGCCCUGCUUGCAGGGUACUCGAGUGGCGAACGGGUGAGUAACACGUGGGUGAUCUGCCCUGCACUUCGGGAUAAGCCUGGGAAACUGGGUCUAAUACCGGAUAGGAGCCAUUUUUAGUGUGAUGGUUGGAAAGUUUUUUCGGUGUAGGAUGAGCUCGCGGCCUAUCAGCUUGUUGGUGGGGUAAUGGCCUACCAAGGCGGCGACGGGUAGCCGGCCUGAGAGGGUGGACGGCCACAUUGGGACUGAGGUUCGGCCCCGGCCCCUACGGGGGGCCGCCGUGGGGAAUUUUGCCCCAUGGGCGCAAGCCUGAUGCCGCGACGCCGCGUGGGGGAUGACGGCCUUCGGGUUGUAAACUCCUUUCGCUAGGGACGAAGCUUUUUGUGACGGUACCUAGAUAAGAAGCACCGGCUAACUACGUG